ACCCACUGCUGUUAGCUCAGUCAACAAAGCAUGAGAUUCUUAAUCUCAGGAUUGUGGGUUCAAGGUCCACGCUGGGCA